GAACUUCCGUUAAUUGAUUAUGACGUGCUUGCACUGAAUGAGAUUUUAACACGAAGUGAGUGGCGGACGGGUGAGUAACACGUGGGUAACCUGCCCAGAAGCAGGGGAUAACACCUGGAAACAGAUGCUAAUACCGUAUAACAGAGAAAACCGCCUGGUUUUCUUUUAAAAGAUGGCUCUGCUAUCACUUCUGGAUGGACCCGCGGCGCAUUAGCUAGUUGGUGAGGUAACGGCUCACCAAGGCGAUGAUGCGUAGCCGACCUGAGAGGGUAAUCGGCCACAUUGGGACUGAGACACGGCCCAGACUCCUACGGGAGGCAGCAGUAGGGAAUCUUCCACAAUGGACGCAAGUCUGAUGGAGCAACGCCGCGUGAGUGAAGAAGGGUUUCGGCUCGUAAAGCUCUGUUGUUAAAGAAGAACGUGGGUGAGAGUAACUGUUCACCCAGUGACGGUAUUUAACCAGAAAGCCACGGCUAACUACGUGCCAGCAGCCGCGGUAAUACGUAGGUGGCAAGCGUUAUCCGGAUUUAUUGGGCGUAAAGCGAGCGCAGGCGGUCUUUUAAGUCUAAUGUGAAAGCCUUCGGCUCAACCGAAGAAGUGCAUUGGAAACUGGGAGACUUGAGUGCAGAAGAGGACAGUGGAACUCCAUGUGUAGCGGUGAAAUGCGUAGAUAUAUGGAAGAACACCAGUGGCGAAGGCGGCUGUCUGGUCUGUAACU
rnacentral:rRNA from 1 species